GCUGUCUCCAGUUUCUCCUGUUUUCUUUGUUUUGUUUACCAGUAUCCACCACCAUUCUUCCAAGGAUGUGACCUUUUUCUGUGGUUAACCCAAAAUGGUUUUCUUCCCCCUCAGAACCUCAGCUAUGAAGAGUUGGCGGCCAACACUGGCAGAGGAACAGAUGCCAUGGCCAUGCUGCUGUGCAGAGACAUCUGGAGCUGAAUCCGCUGCCUGGUAUUCUGAAUCCAUCCGUAUUCAAUGUCACCAGUGUGAUAGUUGUAACAUGACAUUGCUAAAUAGUUCUGAGGAGUGAGGAUAGUACAAGUUGUUUUGCUCGGUUCUCCUGCCUGUCUACUUCCUGGUCCAACAGACCAGGGUCUUCAGGUUCCUCUUUUUAGGCCCCCGGGAACACGCAUGUAUUCACAAAUACCUUAUCAGAAACACACAGCCUUCGCGCUCACAACCACCGA
ensembl:lncRNA